rnacentral:lncRNA from 1 species
UUAUAUGCAUGCUUGCAUUUGGGUUUGAGUCCUCUUGUUUCUAGUUUCUAGAGAGAGAAGGGAUAGAUGAGAGAACAAAAGAAUGGGGGAACUGUUUCUGUGAGUGGAAGGGAGUGUGGUGCCAUAAUUCCUCUUCUCAUGUUGUAAGUCUCAGAGCAGAUGCAUAUGCAUAUGCAUUCAAUAUCGAUGCGCAACCAUACCUUGUAUUUUCAGGAUUAUGAAAGGAACUGCUACAAAACUAGGUUUACGAGCAGUAAGAGCAUCGAGGUUUCAGAGAGAAACCAGCAGAACAAGAUUCAUGCAAACAAGGUUGUUCUACUCCUCAUUAAGGUUCCUGUUUAUUCUUCUUCUUUGUAAUUUUCCAAUGAGGCUUUUUCUCUAUAAUUUGCAGGUUUCAAAGGUUGAGGUUCUAGAGAGAGAAACAGGGCCCUUUUCAUUUUUUUGGAUUUUUCUUUGUAAAAUCAAUAUAAAAGACUGUGGUUCAAUGGGGUUUUUCUCUGUAAUUUGCAGGUUCCAAAGCUUGUGGUUCUAGACAGAGAAACAUGGCUCUUUUUAUUUUUUUGGGUUUUUAUCUAUAAAAUCAGCAAGAAAAAUAACCUUUUUUUUGUCCCGUUUUAAACGUUUUUUAAAAAAAGCUCCGUUUUUUUUGAAAAACUCGGCUUUUAAUCACCAAUUUGCUAACUAUGAUACAAACCGCACCCUUUAUAAAAAUAAAAGAAUAACAUCAAGUUUUCAUAUUAGCUUUAAAUUUGACCUCAAUCAAUCUCAAUAUCCAAACCCUAGACGGGCUUCAACAAGUUUCUCUUAUCUCUUGAAGCCUGCUUAGCCUAUGUUAUUUGCGUCGCUUUUAUUAUCUUUUCAGGUAACUCUUCUCUAUAUAUAAGACUCCCCUGUUACAUCUAUUUUUUUUGAAAUUGUAUCAUAGCGUACAUCUAUUCAUGAGCCAAUUGUUUUCUUUUUUGCUUUUUCUUUUAAAGUGUGAUAUCCAUUAGCCACCUCUUUUUUUAUUGUUUCUAGUCUGCAACAUGCGUUUUGUUAUAAGCUUGACACAUAUAGCCAUGUAAAAAGAAUGGGAGUUGUUUCUAUCAAGAAAUGAAAUAUACAAAUUCACAUAAAUAAAAAGGAUAUGUUUCUAUUAAGAGCUGAAAUGUACAUGUUCACAUAAAUAAAAAGGAUAUGUUUAAAAAAGUUAUAAGAAGUAGAAUAUGGGUAGCUUGGUUACCCGUAUUUCAUGUUUCGAGUAAAAAUAAACGAUGUUAUUAGUGUUUGCAAUCCUUAUAUUUUUGGGUUUUUGAAAAACCAAAAUUUUGAUAUCUGAUAUUUUAAAAAAACAAAAAAAUGAAUAUUUUCUGUUUUUGAAUAAUUAAGUAUUUGAUAUUUUCCGUAUUUCAGAAACUAAAAAUUUGAGAUUUUCAAUUUUUGAAAACCAAAAAUUUGAGAAUUUUGAUUCAAAACUGGAAUUUUUUGACAUUUUUUAGAAAAAGUUUGAUAAUGAAAAAAAAAAUGGGUAUAGAAGUUAUAACGUGAACUAAGAGGUAAUUUUGUAAUAAUGGUUAAAAAAUGAAUAUGAGGGUACUUUUUUCUUCUUUUAUUUUUGCAUUCUCAAGUGUGUAAUAAUUUAAUAAUUGUUAAAA